rnacentral:pre_miRNA from 1 species
AUAGUACUCCCUCCGUCUCAAAAUUCUUAUCUUAUAUUUGUCUAAAUACGAAUGUAUCAAGUCACGUUUUAGUAUUAGAUAUAUCCGUAUCUAGACAAAUUUAAAACAAGAAUUUUGGGACGGAGGGAGUAGUAU